rnacentral:siRNA from 1 species
UGGCCAUUUUUUGUUAGUUGAGGU